UGGGGAAUAUUGGGCAAUGGGCGCAAGCCUGACCCAGCAACGCCGCGUGAAGGAAGAAGGCUUUCGGGUUGUAAACUUCUUUUAUGAGGGACGAAGAAAGUGACGGUACCUCAUGAAUAAGCCACGGCUAACUACGUGCCAGCAGCCGCGGUAAUACGUAGGUGGCGAGCGUUAUCCGGAUUUACUGGGUGUAAAGGGCGUGUAGGCGGGAAGGCAAGUCAGAUGUGAAAACUAUGGGCUCAACCCAUAGCCUGCAUUUGAAACUGUUUUUCUUGAGUGAUGGAGAGGCAGGCGGAAUUCCGUGUGUAGCGGUGAAAUGCGUAGAUAUACGGAGGAACACCAGUGGCGAAGGCGGCCUGCUGGACAUUAACUGACGCUGAGGCGCGAAAGCGUGGGGAGCAAACAGG
rnacentral:rRNA from 1 species